GCAAGGAAAGACUGCCCUGGCUGUGGCUGCCAGGAGCCACCACAGCCUCAUUGUGGAUAUGCUCAUCAAAGCGGAGAGGUACUACGCCUGGAGAGAGUGAGACCUCCAAGGAAGGAGAUGCCAAGUAGUGCUUCAAAGCUUCGGACCACAAUCAAACACAGCAUCCUUUUCAACAGAAGCAGAAGCUCAUCUGAAUAUGCUCAAGGAUGCUGACAUCAACAUUUAAUCAUCUCCUCACUCAUCCAGGAAGAAGGGGAGAUCAGUUACUACUGUACUUUAUUGUGUUCAACCAAAUCACCAUGUUACAAAAAUAGCAAGCUGCCAUAAUAAAAAUAAGGCUCCUCUAUCC
rnacentral:lncRNA from 1 species